GACGAACGCUGGCGGCGUGCUUAACACAUGCAAGUCGAACGGAAAGGCCCUACUUGUGUGGGGUGCUCGAGUGGCGAACGGGUGAGUAACACGUGAGUAACCUGCCCUUGACUUUGGGAUAACUUCAGGAAACUGGGGCUAAUACCGGAUAGCAGCCGCUGCAGGAUUGUGAGGGGUGGAAAGUUUCAGCGGGUGGGGUUGGAUUGGCGGCUUAUCAGCUUGUUGGUGGGAGAGUGGGUUACCCAGGCUUUGACGGGUAGCCGGCCUGAGUGGGUGACAGGCCACAUAGGGACUUAGAUACGGCCGCGACUCCUACGGGAGGCAGCAGUGGGGAAUACUGCACCAUGGGCGGAAGCCUGAUGCAGAAACCCCGCGUGUGGGAUGACGGUCUUCGGGUUGUAGACCGCUUUCGCCUGUGACCCAGCGUGAGUGAAGGUUAUGGGUAAAGAAGCAACGGCUAACUACGUG
rnacentral:rRNA from 1 species